rnacentral:rRNA from 1 species
CGAGCGGGAAAGUCAAAGUCAAGGUGUGAGGGGAGAGCGGCAGAAGCGCUUAGGGUCCAUGCGGCGGGCGCCGGGCAGAGCAAGCCGAUCGUUUGGAUCCCAAAGGAGGCUUAAAGGGGGCGUGCUUAAGCAAGGACUAAAGGGGGAUCCUGCACGACGCUAACUUAGGGGGCAAGCAACAAGACGGGAAGGUCUAAAGAGCAGCUAAAACUACCCGCGCCGCGGUAAAAACACCACUAAAAGAACAACAAACGGGGGGCCUGGGCGGGGCACCUCGCCGGUACCACUUCUGGGGGUUAUCGUGGGGGUUCCGGUUCCGGUUCCGCCGGAGGAGGCCGCGGCCGCGGCGGUCCGGCAGGGGCCGCUCGCGAAGGCCGAGACCAAGCCGCUUCCGCAGCUUCAAAUUCUUUGCCUUUCGGUAACCGCGGCCGCGUUUCCAGCGCCGGUGACGACACCGUCGCCGGCUACCCAGGUGGAGGCGCCCGGGACGCGGACACGUCUUUGGCAGGUGAGGAAGACCUCGUAGCGGACGCCGUAGAAACUUCGGUCGGCGGCAUCGACUUCCUAGUAGACGACGGGUCCAUGGCCGUGGUUUCGGUCUGUGGCGACUUCUUCGUAGUCGCAGCUGAGGUUUCGGUUUCGGUUUCGGUUUCGGCCGACUACGACGUCGACGAUGGUCGUUACCCCACCCACGAUCGCCAUCAUCACCACCACCGUUCUUCUUCUUCUUCCCCGUAUUCCUCUCCGAAUACCGAACCUUCCCUUUCCCCUUCGUCCUCCUCCGCGUCCCCUUAUUCUUCCUCUACUCCUUCCUCCUCCCCCUCGUCCCCUUAUUCUUCCCCUACCCCUUCCUCCUCCCCCGCGUCCCCUUAUUCUUCCCCUACACCUUCCUCCUCCCCAGGUUCUUUCUUCCCCCACCACUACCGUCCCGUCCUCCCGAAUAGAAGUACACGUUACGUGUCUGAUUCGGCCUCACGAAGGUCUUGGCGCACAAACCAUACGGGUACCCCUUCUUCCUCUACCACCUCUUCCAGGCUGGUCCCUGUUUCCAUAAGGACAUACUAAAACUGAACUCCGACGAUAUACCUCACAUGUUCCGCUGUAGUUUCCCGCCCUAUUUGGAACAGUCUUUACGAAAAUUGCCCUUCAAAGGACGAGUCCACUUUAAAUGCUGACUAUUUCUAACGGAAGGAGAAGGACUCUCAUGAAAGUUCGUACGGUAGUUUCUCUUGAUGUCACGUUCGGCGUUUAAACUGGGACUCUAGUGAAGAUGUGUUCAAGCAUCCGACUACCGAGAUAAGUUCGGAUAGUGACAUAUAGUUAGUCGAGGUUCCUCAUUAGAUCUACCUUCCAUGGCGCUACUUCUUUCUUCCGUAGUUGUACUUCUAUCCGGUGUAGGUAACGUACAACUUCUGUCCGCGGGCGUCCACCAACAUGUACAAGGAGGAGGACUCCUGAGUAUGUCCCGUUGUGUGAAACGAGGUAAAGGAUGGCUCGGGGCUGGACCAGUUAAAAACCAAUUACAGGUCCUACUCGUGUCUAUAAUAGUUGUUCGUGGAGGACGUGGACUCAGAGUUGUGUAAGGAGAACGGGGUCUCCGAGCGGUACAAGGAGAACGGUGUCCCGGAGUGAUACGCGGAAGACAUGGUCUCGGAGCCGUACAGGGUGGUCGUAUAAUGGUGGUAAACCGAGGAAGUAGACUACUAAGAAUGAUGGCAAGAGCUCACCUAGGUCACGUACUCGCGUAACGACGGUCUUGUGGAGGUUCCCUAAUGCGUCGUGUCGAACCCCUCAACAGACGAGCACGACUGGUAUACAGCCUCGAGAUGGCCUGGUGACAAGCACUACGAGCGGACCUCCUAGGAAUGGCGGGUCCUCUCGAACGACGGGCACCACGAGCACACCUCCUUGAGAUGGCGGGUCCUCUCUAACGAAGAACACCACUAGCACACCGCCUAGAGAUGGUCCUAGAGAUGGCGAGACGUCUCCAAGGAAGAGCACCACGAGCAUACCUCCUAGAGAUGGCAGGUCCUCUCCAACGACGAGCGCUACAAGCAUACCUCCUAGGGAUGGCAGUUCCUCCCUAUCUACGAGCACCAAGAAUACCCCCCGAGAUGGCAAGCCUGGUCGAUUUACGAGCACGGCACCUAGAGGGUGUAAGAAUAGUCUGGAGGUUGGGACGAAUACGACUUCGGUCAGUCUCUGGACAGGGAUGUCGUUCCCGGUUGCCUGGUCCACACGGCCAAAGGAGUGAGAUAAGGAAGCGGCCUCGCGGUCGUAUAGCUACUAAAAAGAGUUGUAAAUUGUACGGUACGGAACCCAGCCAACAUGACGGUCAGCGCAGCAGCCUACAAAUGAAAAACCAAUUUUGAUAUCGAAUUGACACUCUUCAGCCCUACAAAAAGAGAGAAUAGAACAUACGGACAAUUUGACGAAUGGCCUACUUACCGUAAGUCCAAGUCUGAUACGACAGGUACAACGACACAACUACAAUAAUACGAAAUACGAAAAGGACACGGCCACCAACCACUGAACCACAGGAGAUAGACCCAAACGUUCCGCUUGUAACCACAAAGAUCCAGCAGUUUAACCGAUCGCUUUACACACAAUAUACGGUGAUUUUUAUAUAGCAACCUAAGAAGCAACUUACUUCAAAGAUUUGUAUAUGAAAAGCACCGCACGUGCGUAAAAGAAACAACUUUACACAGUGUGUUAAACAAUCAGUUUAACUUCUAGCUCUGUAGGCACACGAGAGGAAUGUUUGGUUUACCUCCCCCAUCCCCAAGAGCGGGGCCCGUACGAAAACGAACGUUGUAGACUCGUACGAACCAGAAGCACCGACUCCACCACCGGAGCUUAGAUC